rnacentral:rRNA from 1 species
GACGAACGCUGGCGGCGUGCCUAACACAUGCAAGUCGAACGAAGCACUGCGGAAAGAGACUUCGGUCAAUGGAAGCUUUGACUUAGUGGCGGACGGGUGAGUAACGCGUGAGGAACCUGCCUUUCAGUGGGGGACAACAGUUGGAAACGACUGCUAAUACCGCAUAAAGUGUUUUGGGGGCAUCCCCGGAACACCAAAGAUUUAUUGCUGAAAGAUGGCCUCGCGUCUGAUUAGAUAGUUGGCGGGGUAACGGCCCACCAAGACCGCGAUCGGUAGCCGACCUGAGAGGGUGACCGGCCACAUUGGGACUGAGACACGGCCCAGACUCCUACGGGAGGCAGCAGUGGGGAAUAUUGCACAAUGGAGGAAACUCUGAUGCAGCGACGCCGCGUGAGCGAAGAAGUAUUUCGGUAUGUAAAGCUCUGUCAGCAGGGAAGAUAAUGACGGUACCUGACCAAGAAGCCCCGGCUAACUAACGUG